AGGGAGCUGAGUUCCCUCACAGAAGCUCGGCCGGCAGCAGACGCACGGAGUCCACGCCUCCGAGCGCUGGCCAGGCCGUCUGACCCUACAUUUGGACUGUGACGAGUACAGUUUGGACAGGGAGGGAGUGUCAGCGACUCACAUUCCCUUUCCGUUCCCCUUCCUCAUCCAAGGGCAUGAUCUAAUAGCCUCCUUGCACAGCUAGCACACCGGGCUUACUCUAAUAAUAGACCUCGGCCGAAUCACCGGGGGUUGUUACACGGAGUCCUCAGCUGUUUCCAUGACCCGCCCUCUGGAGACCUCCAGGAAUGCGCAGGGUAAUCAGUGACUUUAAUUUUAGCUACCAUGACGCGAAGGACGCUCUACGGAUCUCUGCUGACCUGUCCUGAGAUUGCAUGAUCUGAUGGGGAAGGAAUUUAGGACGAAAGCUCUGGAAUGGAUCCCUUUGCAAUAGCACUCCCAGAACCUGGACUCCACGGUGACACAUUUCUGACCCUGGAGACUAUGACAGUUUCCUGAGGAUAGCAGCACAAUCACUUGGAAGGAAGUUGGACCCUUGAAUGAUGCUUCCAUGAGGUGACAGGUCCUCCACCACAUGCUCCCGCCAGGAUGUACUAUGGUACCACCACAAGCCUGAUGGCAUUGUGGCCAAGUGACCAUGGACUGAAAUGUCUGAAAC